rnacentral:rRNA from 1 species
UACAGAGGGGGCAAGCGUUGUUCGGAUUCAUUGGGCGUAAAGGGUGCGUAGGUGGCAUGGUAAGUCGGAUGUGAAAUCCCGGGGCUCAACCCCGGAACUGCAUUCGAUACUGCUGCGCUAGAGUACUGGAGAGGAGAUUGGAAUUUACGGUGUAGCAGUGAAAUGCGUAGAUAUCGUAAGGAAGACCAGUGGCGAAGGCGGAUCUCUGGACAGUUACUGACACUGAGGCACGAAGGCCAGGGGAGCAAACGGG